rnacentral:rRNA from 1 species
AUUGAACGCUGGCGGCAUGCCUUACACAUGCAAGUCGAACGGCAGCACGGAGCUUGCUCUGGUGGCGAGUGGCGAACGGGUGAGUAAUAUAUCGGAACGUACCCAAGAGUGGGGGAUAACGUAGCGAAAGUUACGCUAAUACCGCAUACGAUCUAAGGAUGAAAGCAGGGGACCGCAAGGCCUUGUGCUCCUGGAGCGGCCGAUAUCUGAUUAGCUAGUUGGUGAGGUAAAGGCUCACCAAGGCAUCGAUCAGUAGCUGGUCUGAGAGGACGACCAGCCACACUGGAACUGAGACACGGUCCAGACUCCUACGGGAGGCAGCAGUGGGGAAUUUUGGACAAUGGGGGCAACCCUGAUCCAGCAAUGCCGCGUGAGUGAAGAAGGCCUUCGGGUUGUAAAGCUCUUUUGUCAGGGAAGAAACGGUGAAGGCUAAUAUCCUUUGCUAAUGACGGUACCUGAAGAAUAAGCACCGGCUAACUACGUGCCAGCCGCCGCCGUAAAAC